rnacentral:sRNA from 1 species
UACCCCUCCAUCUCCUAGCUAGUCCCAGCAAAAUUAUGUGAUCUCUUUCCCUUUAUCUCUCUCUUUCUCUCUGUCUGCAUGUCAAAUCAUUUGUAUUCUAUAAUAUUGUUUUGUAAAAUUUAUUUUUUUAAAUGUACAAUUUACAAAGACUUAUUUGGUACGUUAUUGCAAUAGAAAUUCUCAGUUUCAAUCAGGUAUAUUGUGUAAAUUUCUGUUUCUUCUUAGGUUUAAAUUGAUAUUAAAUCUUGUGGCAUUUUUAAAUAUUGGAUCUCUUUGAAACAUACUAACAAACAAGUAAAUUGGAAGUGACUUUGACAGUAUUCUUUAUACAACAUUCCAUAUUAUAUAUUUUACAAGUAUAUUGCUUGUUUGAGUGUGUUAAAUGAAUUUAUAUAAAUUGUUAUACAUGAAUGUACAAGUAUUUGAUUAUGUACUAAUGCGAGAAGUGAAUUGUGAUAUAUGCAUGCUGAAAUAUGCUGUUUUUACUAUAUUAUUUAUUUUCUUACUUUAUAAGGAUAUUUCAUAAUGAUUUGUACAUUAAAUUAAAUCUUGUAUUUUCC